GAAGCACAAUCUAAAUUGGAAUUUGCUAACAACUAUUAAACAAAUACGUUACUGAAUACUUGAAACGUUAUAUACGCACUACAAUAUGCUCAAUAAAUAUAUUUGGAACUACUCUGUAAUUGUUCUAUUGUACUACAUAUCGGAAACCUCUUGUCUUGUGAGCAUUAUGAACGUAGGCAUCCCAGAAAAUGAAAUCAUUUUAAAUCGUUACAACACGCAUGGGGAACACCAUGAGGAAAAUAUGAAAGAAAAACCAAGCGUACAUAUGAAAACAGCUACCACGUCUCCAGCGGCGGUAACACAUGCGGGAUCUUCACUGACAGUACAUAUGUCGCAGUCCCAUACUGGCAGUGGUGAAAAUUCUCUUCAUUUUGAGCAACAGCGUCCUAGAAGUUCAUACAACCUGCUAAGCGAAGCAAUGUCUCAGGCGGUUAGCAAUGAAUUCAGUUCUUUGACCACUUCAUCGGAUGUCACAUGCAAUGCAAAUGACUUCGACUGUGAGAACGGAAACGUGCAGGAUCGGCUUGGCAUGGAGGCAAUCGCCAGUUUACACCGGCAAUUAGACGAUGAUGAUAAUGGAAAUAUCGACUUGAGUGAAUCGGAUGAUUUUCUCCGCGAAGAACUCAAGUAUGACUCCGGCUAUGAAAAGCGUCAGAAAGCAUUUCAUUUUAAUGAUGACAUGCAUAUAUCAGUUAAAGAACUGUGGGAUGCAUGGUUGCGCUCAGAGGUACAUAAUUGGACCAUUGAACAAACAACAGACUGGUUGGCACAGUCAGUUCAACUACCUCAGUAUGUCGACCUUUUCAAAUUACAUAAGGUUACUGGUGCCGCUUUACCAAGAUUGGCUGUAAAUAAUCUGCAUUAUGUUAGCAAUGUGCUGGGCAUAAAAGACCCCAUACAUAAACAAAAAAUAUCACUGAAAGCGAUGGAUGUUGUGCUAUUUGGACCACCGCGAGAGACAGGCACACGCUGGAAAGACUAUAUUCUUGUCACUCUCUUACUGAGCGCUAUUAUAGGAUGUUGGUAUGCUUACCAACAGAACAAAAAUGCUAAGAGGCAUUUGCGUCGCAUGGCACAGGAUAUGGAAGGAUUGCAACGUGCUGAACAAAGUCUACAAGAGAUGCAAAAGGAGCUAGAGCUUGCGCGCAUGGAACAGGAAAAUGUGGCAACGGAAAAAAUGGACCUUGAGCGUCGUCUAAAGGAAGUACCUUCAGUUAGUUCCUCAAGCUCAGAUUUGGAGGUACAGCAGUUAAAAAAGGAAAUCGAAAUGUUACGCAAUGAAUUAACACGUGCCGAGUUCGAGCUGGUGGAUAAUUGUUGGGCGCCUCCUCAACAAUUACAGUCAUGGCUACAGUACACAUAUGAGUUAGAAAACAAGAACCAUCAGAAAAAGCGCAGUUCUGCCGAGAAACAACUGCAAUCAGCUCGGGAAGCGUGCGAAAAAUUACGUAAAAAGCGAUCUAGCUUGGUAGGAGCUUUUGUUUCAACGCACGGUAGAAGCAUUGAUGAUGUUGAUCGCUCAAUAGUUGAAGCGCGAAAUUCUCUUGGAGAAGUAACUAAUGAGUUACAGGAACGUCUUCAUCGUUGGAAACAAAUUGAAACGUGCCUCGGAUUGAAUAUUGUCAAUAACAACGGAUUACCUUACUUAGAAAAUGUUCUUUACAGUCGCAAUGGAGGUAUUUCUAGCAGUGGCGGUAUAAGUUCCACAAAAGGUUCUAGAGCCAGAAUCACAAGCAGCACCGAUGACUUGGACGAUGAAUCAGUACAAGGUGCCAUCGAUAGCAACAGUCGAGGCUCGACAAGUGCCAGUGCUGUCACGAAUCACAUUACACGAGACGAUAGUUCAUGCAGUGACGAGGGUACCGACAACCAAUCAGUUCAAUUUUAUAUAGGCAGGAUUACACCUCCCAUAUCUAUGCUAGCGACAGAUCGAUUUAGGCCACUAGAGGAAAUCAAAGCUUGUAAUCACGUUGGGCUGAGUAAUGCAACAUCAACCAAUGAUUCACCGACAUGUUUGGAACAAAAUAUCUCGUCUAUGACAACUCUAAGCAAUAGAUUGAUGCUGAUUUCAGACGACCUUUCAAAACCAAUGAUUUUAUUAAAAGGUGGGAGGAGUUUAAAAUAAAAAGCCGCCCUUAUUCGACGAAAAUAUUAAAAAGAUCAAGAGCCUUUAUUUAAAUCGUUUGAAGAUCAAUCAAAUGAUACAGAAGAUUUAUUAAUAGUAUUAAUGAUGCAUGCUUUGUUGGUGCCGACCAGAAGAGCAAAAGAUAAUUUAAUUGGCAAAGUACUUUUUAAGCAUAGCUUUGAAAACUUACUUAAAAGCCCGGACUCUUUCAGAAUCUAUUAAUAGUUAAAUAACACAAAUCAGUAAUCCCAUUAACAUACACAUCCUUUACAGCUUCUUUUUCUCUUGUAUAUGGUCAAGUUAGAUAUACGCGUACACGAAUUAAAGAUAAUUUAUACUAUUUAUACCAUGUAUGAAAAACACCAACUAACUUAAUUAUAGUACUAAUUUUCUUAAGACAAAUAUUAUUUUUAGAUUUAUUAGUACAUUCAAUGUAACAUAUCCUACGUGAUGUAAGUAUUGUAUACCAUUGUAAAACGAAAAAAUGGUUUAAAUUUUUUUAAAUAAAAACCAUGAAAUUCCGAU